rnacentral:rRNA from 1 species
CCUACGGGAGGCAGCAGGAGGGAAUAUUGCUCAAUGGGGGAAACCCUGAAGCAGCAACGCCGCGUGGAGGAUGAAGGUUUUCGGAUUGUAAACUCCUUUUGUUAGAGAAGAUAAUGACGGUAUCUAACGAAUAAGCACCGGCUAACUCCGUGCCAGCAGCCGCGGUAAUACGGAGGGUGCAAGCGUUACUAGGAAUCACUGGGCGGAAAGAGCGCGUAGGCGGGGUAGCAAGUCAGAUGUGAAAUCCUAUGGCUUAACCAUAGAACUGCAUUUGAAACUGUUAUUCUAGAGUAUGGGAGAGGUAGGUGGAAUUCUUGGUGUAGGGGUAAAAUCCGUAGAGAUCAAGAGGAAUACUCAUUGCGAAGGCGACCUGCUAGAACAUAACUGACGCUGAUGCGCGAAAGCGUGGGGAGCAAACAGGAUUAGAUACCCGAGUAGUC